ensembl:lncRNA
AUAUUGUGAAAUAUUUUUGUUAUUUAAAAUAGUUUUUUUUCUGUUUUAAUAUAUUGUAAAAUGUAAUUUAUUCCUCUGAUGCAAAGCUUAAUUUUCAGCAUCAUUACUCCAGUCUUCAGUGUCACAUGAUCCUGAAGAAAUCAUUCUAAUAUACUGAUAAGAUGAUGAGGAAACAUUAAUUAUUAUUAUACAUGUUGAAAACCGUUGUGGCACUUUAUAUAGUUGUAGAAACUGUUUGUUUUUUUUUUUUUAGAAAAAAAAAAAAAACUUAGCAAAAACUUUUAGCAAUUGAUGCCACUUAAAAUAAUAAUAAUAAUAAUAAUAAUAUAUAUAUAUAUAUAUAUAUAAAUAAUUUUAUAUAAUAAUAAUAAUAAUAAUAAUAAUAUAUAUAUAUAUACAUACAUACACACAUACAUACAAGUUCUUUUUGUUUUCACUGUUUUGUUUAAUAAUGAAAAGUGGAAAAACUGAAUGACAGAAUUUUUUUUUUUUUUUUUUUUUUUUUGUGGUUCAGUGGAUGUUUUUCCCAUAAUAUUUGUUGUUUGAAAAUGACUUUUUUCCUUUACAUCUCAGUUGAGGAUAUUUACUAUAGCGAAAGGUUUGGGACUGUGUGUUCUUGAAGUGCCAGAAGCCGAUCAGCAUCGUCAUGAUACCCUUUUUCUUUCAGAGUAAUUGGUCCCAUGACAGUCAUGGCUCAGGUGAUUAGCUCAAAAAUGAGCAAAGAUGGCAUCAUGCCGGUUACGUAUACCCGGAGGCUCAUGCUCCAGCCUACCAGCAGCCAUUGAGAUGAACGAUAAUGCUAACGGAUGGCUUUCUCCAGGCAGCUGGAGAUUGAACUCAGGCCUUCUUAGAAACCACCCUUUUUACCUGUGAACCAAGAGUGUUCAACAUCCAUCAGACGAGCAGCAUUUCCAUCAGUAACACAUUACAUCAUAAAGACUCCUGCUGCAAAUUGAUGCAAUUUAGCAGCCAUCAUCGCUACAUGUAAGUAAAAUGAACUAAAGAUCCUUUGCAAAACUUCACUCAUAUCUCCAUCUCUGAAAGCAUCACAGUCUGUUGUAGCGUCUGUCCCAAGCCGACUGUAGCAGGAGCUGAUCAAUUGCAUUCAGAUCCGCAAAGGUUCUCUGUCGUUUAGUAGUAAACUCUCAAACUUCUCCCAAAUUUGAUUCGGUGAUAGUCUAUUUCAG